CAAGGUAGCGUAAUCACUUGUCCCCUAAAUAGGGACCAGUAUGAACGGCUGCAUGAGGACCAAACUGUCUCCUUUGACCAAUCAAUGAACCUGAUCUCUCAGUACAAAAGCCGAGAUAACACCAUAAGACAAGAAGACCCUGUGGAGCUUAAAAUACCAAUACUAACCACCGACCUCCCCCACUGGGCCCACACCACCAAAAUAGUGUACAUUUUUAGUUGGGGCGACUGCGGAACCAAACAAAACUUCCAUGACACAAGACCACCCGUCAACCCAAGGUCAACAAACCUACACACCACUUGACCCAGUAGCACUGACCAACGAACCAAGUUACCCCAGGGAUAACAGCGCCAUCCUCUUCAAGAGCCCAUAUCGCCAAGAGGGUUUACGACCUCGAUGUUGGAUCAGGACCCCCAGGUGGUGCAACCGCUACCAACGGUUCGUUUGUUCAACGAUUAACAGUCCUACGUGAUCUGAGUC
rnacentral:rRNA from 1 species